rnacentral:tRNA from 1 species
GCGGAUGUGGCGAAAUUGGCAGACGCGCUAGAUUCAGGUUCUAGUGAACUCAGUUCAUGCAGGUUCAAGUACUGUCAUCCGCACCA